rnacentral:sRNA from 1 species
CUCGUCAAGCCUGAAUCCACACACGUAUCGGCACGUUAUUCUGGGUGCCCGCAAGGGUUGAAUAGCGGGAUGCGUGGAGGCCUAAC